rnacentral:rRNA from 1 species
GACAGAGGGUGCAAACGUUGCUCGGAAUCACUGGGCGUAAAGGGCGUGUAGGCGGGAAGGAUAGUCAGAUGUGAAAGCCCUGGGCUCAACCCAGGAACUGCAUUUGAAACUCCCUUUCUUGAGCGUCGGAGAGGAAAGCGGAAUUCCUGGUGUAGAGGUGAAAUUCGUAGAUAUCAGGAGGAACACCGGUGGCGAAGGCGGCUUUCUGGACGACAACUGACGCUGAGACGCGAAAGCGUGGGGAGCAAACAGG